CCGCUGGUUUAUCAAAAACAUGUUCUUUUGUUUAUAUAAAAGAUUUGACCUGCCCUAUGAUUAUAUUUAAUGGCUGCAGUAUUUUGACUGACAAAGGUAGCAUAAUCAUUUGUCUUUUAAUUGAAGUCUGGAAUGAAUGGUUUGAUGAAAAAUAUACUUUCUUUUUUUUAUAAAAAAAAUUUAAUUUUUUAGUUAAAAAGCUAAAAUUUAAUUGUAGGACGAGAAGACCCUAUAGAACUUUAUUUUUAGAUUUUUAUAUUAGAUGUGGGAAAUAAUUUUAAUAUAAAAAUAUUAAAUUUUGUUGGGGUGACAGAAAAAAUUUAAUAACUUUUUCUCUUUUGGUCAUUAAUAUAUGAUUUAUUUGAUCCUUUAUUAUGGAUAAAAGAUUAAGUUACCUUAGGGAUAACAGCGUUAUUUUUUCGGAGAGUUCAUAUCGAUGAAAAAGUUUGCGACCUCGAUGUUGGAUUAUAAUAAGAUAUAGGAGUAGAAUAUUAUAUUCUAGGUCUGUUCGACCUUUAAAUUUUUACAUGAUCUGAGUUCAAACCGGAGAA
rnacentral:rRNA from 1 species